CCUACGGGAGGCAGCAGUGAGGAAUAUUGGUCAAUGGUCGAGAGACUGAACCAGCCAAGUAGCGUGAAGGAUGACUGCCCUACGGGUUGUAAACUGCUUUUAUGCGGGAAUAAAGUUCACUACGUGUAGUGUUUUGUAUGUACCGCAUGAAUAAGGACCGGCUAAUUCCGUGCCAGCAGCCGCGGUAAUA
rnacentral:rRNA from 1 species